GGGGGGUUAGCUCAGUUGGUUAGAGUAUUUGUCUUACAACUGCCGACGACAGCAUGUCGUGAAGCAGGAGGAGCACAAAAUGUCCAGGGUUCGAGACCCUGAUCCCCCA
rnacentral:tRNA from 1 species